UACGUAGGGGGCAAGCGUUGUCCGGAUUUAUUGGGCGUAAAGAGCGUGUAGGCGGCCAUGCAGGUCAGCUGUGAAAACUCGAGGCUCAACCUCGAGACGUCGGUUGAAACCAUCUGGCUAGAGUCCGGAAGAGGAGAGUGGAAUUCCUGGUGUAGCGGUGAAAUGCGCAGAUAUCAGGAAGAACACCCCUGGCGAAGGCGGCUCUCUGGGACGCUACUGACGCUGCGACGCGAAAGCGUGGGGAGCGAACAGG
rnacentral:rRNA from 1 species